CAACAAAUUUCAGAGCAAGUUGCUUGAAAUAAUUGAUGAAGGUGAAUUGCCCGAUUUUUUGGGAGGCACUUGCACUUGUGCUGAUCAUGGAGGUUGCAUGCUUUCCGACAAGGGACCAUGGAAGGACCCAGAGAUCAUAAAAAUGGUUCAAAGUGGG